GAGUUUGAUCUUGGCUCAGGAUGAACGUUGGCGGCGUGCCUAACACAUGCAAGUCGAACGGGAAGCCGAUUCCGGUCGGCAGAGAGUGGCGCACGGGUGCGUAACACGUAGCUCACCUGGCCCAAAGCGUGGGAUAACGCACCGAAAGGUGUGCUAAAACCACAUAAGCUCACAGUUUGUAGAGGACAGUGAGAAAAACUCCGGUGCUUUGGGAUGGGGCUGCGGCCCAUCAGCUAGUUGGUGCGGUAAUGGCGCACCAAGGCGACGACGGGUAGGGGGCCUGAGAGGGUGGCCCCCACACUGGGACUGAGACACGGCCCAGACUCCUACGGGAGGCAGCAGUGAGGGAUAUUGCACAAUGGGCGCAAGCCUGAUGCAGCGACGCCGCGUGGGUGAUGAAGGUCUUCGGAUCCGUAAAACCCUUUCUGCGUGACGAUAAUGACGGUAGCGCAGGAAUAAGUGUCGGCUAACUACGUGCCAG
rnacentral:rRNA from 1 species